rnacentral:lncRNA from 1 species
GAGUAGCUGGGAUUACAGGUGCCUGCCACCAUGCCUGGCUAAUGUUUUUUUGUAUCUUUAGUAGAGAUGGGGUUUCACCAUGUUGGACAGGCUGGUCUCAAGCUCCUGACCUCAGAUGAUCCACCUGCCUCAGCCUCCCAAAGUGCUGGGAUUACAGGCGUGAGCCACUGCACCCGGCCAGCCCAGUCUUUGAGAAGAGCCCCAGGAUUCUCAAUAUUUCUGCCCAUGUUUGCCUUCCUUUCUGCUUCUGGCAGGGAGUGGAUUGUCAGCUGACCUCUGUCCUGUGUGCCCAGUGGCCCCAGGUGACGUGUCUUCAAGAAGAGGCUGAGCUGCGGUGCUUGUAAGGCAGGGUCUCAUUCUGUCACCCAGGCUGGAGUGCAGUGGUGCAAUGAUGGCUCACUGCAGCCUCGACCUGGGCUCAAGUGAUCCUCCACCUCAGCUUCCUGAGUAGCUGGGACCACAGAGUCAUGUGCUGUUCCUGGGGCUUGGAUGAUGUAGGGGAAGCAAGGUGAAAGUGGUAUCCCGUGGUUCCACGUUCUGUCCUGCUGUGGGGCUGUCCCUCACAUGCUUUCAGUGGCUGUUGCAGAGGAAGAGCCUCCGGAAAUCUGCGUGGGUAAAGUCUCAGCCUUAGAUCCAAGGACAGUCCAAGGAAGUCCUAAGACCAUGGAGUUGGUGAUCUGGGAUCUGGGUUUGCUGAUAUUUCUCACCGUGAAUCUCUUGGUGGUGUUUGUGGGCACGAGAGGGGCAGAGAAUGGAGAGUGAGGCUACCACAUGAAGCGUCACCAGAGCUGCUCCCUGCUGCCUGCUCAGAGCACCCCGGAUCCACUGUUCAAUCUGCACAAGAUUCGGGGUCCAGACAUGGGAGACUUCAGCUGCCUCAGAGGACCGUGGACAGGGAAGGCCAGCCUCGCAUCCCUCUGUCCAUGCCUGGAAUGACUUUAAUAACCAAGAGUUUUAUUUUUGAAUUUGUAGCUGUCGUUCACUUUUUACCCACCCAUUCAAUAAACCUUACAGAAUUGCUC